rnacentral:rRNA from 1 species
AGAGUUUGAUCAUGGCUCAGAUUGAACGCUGGCGGCAUGCUUUACACAUGCAAGUCGAACGGUAACAGGUUAAGCUGACGAGUGGCGAACGGGUGAGUAAUGCAUCGGAACGUGCCCGGUCGUGGGGGAUAACGCAGCGAAAGCUGCGCUGAUACCGCAUACGAUCUGAGGAUGAAAGCGGGGGACCGUAAGGCCUCGCGCGAUCGGAGCGGCCGAUGUCAGAUUAGGUAGUUGGUGGGGUAAAGGCUCACCAAGCCGACGAUCUGUAGCUGGUCUGAGAGGACGACCAGCCACACUGGGACUGAGACACGGCCCAGACUCCUACGGGAGGCAGCAGUGGGGAAUUUUGGACAAUGGGCGCAAGCCUGAUCCAGCAAUGCCGCGUGCAGGAAGAAGGCCUUCGGGUCGUAAACUGCUUUUGUACGGAGCGAAAAGGUCUUUCCUAAUACGAGAGGCUGAUGACGGUACCGUAAGAAUAAGCACCGGCUAACUACGUGCCAGCAGCCGCGGUAAUACGUAGGGUGCGAGCGUUAAUCGGAAUUACUGGGCGUAAAGCGUGCGCAGGCGGUUUUGUAAGACAGGCGUGAAAUCCCCGGGCUCAACCUGGGAAUGGCGCUUGUGACUGCAAAGCUGGAGUGCGGCAGAGGGGGAUGGAAUUCCGCGUGUAGCAGUGAAAUGCGUA